UACGGAGGGGGCAAGCGUUAUUCGGAAUUACUGGGCGUAAAGCGUGCGCAGGCGGUUUUGUAAGUCAGAUGUGAAAUCCCCGGGCUUAACCUGGGAACUGCGUUUGAAACUACAAGGCUAGAGUGUGGCAGAGGGGGGUGGAAUUCCACGUGUAGCAGUGAAAUGCGUAGAGAUGUGGAGGAACACCGAUGGCGAAGGCAGCCCCCUGGGUUAACACUGACGCUCAGGCACGAAAGCGUGGGGAGCAAACAGG
rnacentral:rRNA from 1 species